AUGGAUGGAUUCGGGGAGGAGAAGGAUAUGGCGGCGCUGGGUGGAUGGCGCACCACCACGCCGGCCUGGUCGUGGCGGCGGGCGGAGGUGGAGAAGAUGGGGAGAGGGAGAGAGAUGAGAAGCCAGGCCGGAAGGGAUCGAAGGCAGCCGCUAGGGAUUCCUGUUCCCCGUCUGAUCUGCCACUUUUGCUAUAUGGCCCUUCUCCUUUUCUUGUUUCUUUACAAGAAGGUCCCUCUAUUAUUUAACUUGUCCCUUGGGUUACUUCUUUUCUUCUUAGUCGGGUCCUUCGUUCUCUUGUUCCAGACCCAAGUCUCACCUCGUUCAGCAAUUUGA
rnacentral:rRNA from 1 species